rnacentral:rRNA from 1 species
AUGUACCACAAGGUGCACUCGUUCGGUCCAAGAUCUCGCCCUGAACAUUUGCAGUUGUACUUCUACGACGACGAUCCCAGCUUAAACCAUCGCAAGGAGGCCACCAAGCAAUUGGACCAGCACGUUGUCAGCAAGUUAGUGGACGUCCUCAGGGAAAACCCCUACUCCCAGCAGUUUAGGAGUUUGGGUGCCCAUAAGGAAAAUCUCGAGGAGUACCGGAUAGACCUCAACAUUGACCAGAAGCUAGACCAACGAAGAUAUAACAGACCCGUGUCAUCCGAGGUGGCUGCGAUUUGGGUCGAGGGAAGCGAUCUAGCAAACAGGUUCAACCGCAGCAUUACACUCUAUGGGGACAACAACGAGAAGUAUAGUAUACAUGCCACAGAUGGCUGUUAUGACCCGCUUUCGUAUCCCCUCUUUUUCCCAAGGGGGGAGCUUGGUUGGCAUCCAAAUAUCCCUAAGCACAAUGUCCCUUGGGAGGUUGCACAACAACCAAGAAGAAACCGUGAUAACGAUUCAGGUGCGCCUGGUUGGUAUGCUUAUAUGCCACAAAAAGUUCUCUAUCCUUCCAUAUGGUACCUAACCUUCUUAUUUCACGUCUUUCCACAGAGGGGAACAGCCGGUUGUGUGUCUCUGUCAGGGACUACUACUGUUACCGGCUACAGACGCGCCCUGCGAUAUUCAACCCCAUACUGCACGGAGCACGCCUGUUUCAGCAGUGGGGUGUCGACAUGUUCAUCAAGAUUGAGGGAUGUAGGCUGA